CUGUAAUAUAAAUAAGGCCAUGCUCAUAAAAAAUAUAUAAUCCUUCCUCAUUUUAAAUGGCACCCACCGCCACUGACUCACAGUUUGCUGUAACAUGGAAUCCUCCCAAAGCCCCCUUUCCUAAUACAGUCCAUACCUCCUCCCUCUUGUUCACACACAGUUAAAAAAUUGCCCUGUCUCUCUCUGUCUGUGUGUGUGUGUGUGUGUGUGUGUGUGUGUGUGUGUGUGUGUGUGUGUGUGUGUGUGUGUGUGUGUGUGUGUGUGUGUGUGUGUGUGUGUGUGUGUGUUAUUGUUGGAAUUCCUCAGUGUUCCCUCUCUACAUCUGGUAAUCAUUAGCCAUGUCAGUAUAUAAAGAGGAUGUUGUGCGUAGUCAGGAUCCAGUGUAUCAGCAUGGAGCAGGCUGUGUGGCUGCUGUGUGUCCUGUUUCUGCAGGUCUGUCUGCUCUCCACCACGGCCCUCCCUGGACAAGAGAGACGGACAGCAGCUUUUCAAACCAACCAAGCCAUGGUGAGACAUUCCUCUGGAUUCUACUAGGUUUAUUCCCUGUCCUAUAAUCUAUGAUUCCAACCCUAUUCCUGGAGAGCUACCCUCCUGUAGAUUUUCACUCCAACUCCAGUUGUAACUAACUAGCCUGAUUCUAAUUAUUAGAAUCAAGUGCGCUAGAGGGGGAGGUUUUCGGGGUGACUGUGGGGGGGAUCUUGGAUGGUAGAGGGGCGGUUUUCAUGGGGGACCUACAGGACCGUAACUCUCCAGGAACAGAGUUGGGGAGCCCUGCUCUAGACUGACACAGUUGGAAUGUGCACAUUGGUAUAGAAGUCACUCUGGCACUAUCACGAUCAUUCUGCACCACUCUCAACAGGGAGGCUCUUCCCCAUUCCUCCCAGGACCUCCACCUCAGGUAGACAUGAAGCCACUGGUUGUGCAGCUCACAUCAAAGAGACAUGAGGAGGGUGUCCGAAACAGGGUAGGGGCAUGCAGCGGCCAGCGUCCAGGGAGUUGUUCAAUGUUGUCAGUCCUGAAGAAUGGACCUCCACCGCCACCCGAGAGUUCCAGGACUAAGAGGCAUGUGACUACUAAGGGCAGACGCAAAAGACCCUAUCGUCCUGGAGUCUUGGCUGCAUUUUCCGAACUAGCUGUUCCUCCUUACAGAUCCUCAGCAUAGAAGAAGACGGUACUGAGACACAGGACAGGCCAUGGAGAGAAACCCACCGCUGAAACUUGCUUUAUUUUGGGUCAUAAGUGAAAUAAGCAUGAAAAAAACAUGUGGUAUCGACAGUAAAACACUCAGUCCUGCUUUAUUUGAAGUGCAUCUUGAGAAAGCUUUUUAAAAACGGUCAUAUAGGCUUCAUAAGCACUGCAUAAAUAGGUCACAAAUAAUCUAUAACUCAUUUCAUGCUCGAUAAAAUAUUUCCAAAUGUGAUUUCUAAAUGUGAACAAAUAAAUGCAUGCAUUUAUAGAGCAAGAUAUAAGGUUAUAGAUGAUAUGUGAAGCAUCUAUGUGUGGCUUUAUGAAGCCUUCAUAAGAUGCAUUUCAAAUAAAGCGGGACUAAACUUUCAUUGACUUUUUUUUUUCAGUUUUCCAGCAAUGCAAUUAUAAAUAAAACUCUACCGCGCGAUGGACUGGACUAAGCCAUUCACUCAUUUCUGAAUGUUCUGUAAGACAAAUCACAUUGGGGUCACCAAACUUGUAGGUGAUGUUAUGUUCCUGGAAUCGACUCAGUAUUUUAAUGUUAUUCAAAGCCUUAAAUCACAGUUAAAACAAAGGAAACAAAAAUGUCAAGACACACAAUGUAUUUGCUUCAGUAGUCAAUCUUUUCACAAUUUCUCAAUAUUCUCUGUCAAAUGCUCAAUGUUACUGCAUAUUUUACCAUAGCAAACCUUUCAACAGUUGUAUAUGUCUGUUCUACUAAAUAAAAAUGUUAGAUCUAGGACAUGAACACAAUCCAGUUUAUUCCUACUGUUGUUAUUACGAGAGAUUUGACUCAAUCCAGAAGACAUUAAAACCCCAGAUGUUUUGAUUUUUGAAAAGGUCAUCAUGGACGUUUGCAAUGUCUCCACAAGUUCCAAUCAACAGUUGAAACUUAGAUGGAUUUAGGGAGGCAGUGAGAGAAUAUACACAUGUUGAAAACAGAGUUAGAAGACCAGCUGUCUGCAACUUUUAACAGAGUAGCUAGUAGUCAUUUAGCCACUGGUAGUCUGCACAGCGCGAUAUCAACCCAGAGCACAUCGGACAGCUUUUUCUCUACCACAUCUCCGGAUUCCUACCUCAAGAUCUGAGCCGAUGUAAUCUUCGAAGGUGGUUUCAACAGGCUCUUCCGUUGCGACAUCGCCAGAGGCCCAUCUGCUAUCCCCGGCCCGCUAGCUGUCUGAAUCGCCGUGUCUCCAGCUCGCCUAGCAUAGUAGCGACUACUGAAUCGGCACCCUGGCUCAUCUAUUGCUACUCUUUGGACCCUAUUAUCACUUGGCUACACAUGCCUCUCCCUAAUGUCAAUAUGCUUUGUCUAUUGCUGUUUUGGUUAGUGAUUAUUCUCUUAUUUCACUGUAGAGCCCCCAGCCCUGCCCAACAUGCCUUAGAUAGCCCUUUUGUUCAUACCCCCACACAUGCGGUGACCUCACCUGGCUUAACUGGUGCCUCUAGAGACAAAACCUCUCUCAUUGUCACUCAUCAUCCGACCAUACCUUUGUCUGUACAUUGCCUUGAAUCUAUUCUUCCAUGACCAGAAAUCUGCUCCUUUUACUCUCUGUUCAGAACGCACUAGAUGAUCAGUUCUAAUAGCCUUUAG
ensembl:lncRNA